UUAGAGUGCUUAAAGCAGGCCCAGCCGCCUGAAUAUUCGUGCAUGGAAUAAUGGAAUAGGACCUCGGUUCUAUUUUGUUGGUUUUCGGAACUCGAGGUAAUGAUUAAUAGGGACAGACGGGGGCAUUCGUAUUGCGACGUUAGAGGUGAAAUUCUUGGAUCGUCGCAAGACGAACUACUGCGAAAGCAUUUGCCAAGAAUGUUUUCAUUAAUCAAGAACGAAAGUUAGAGGUUCGAAGGCGAUCAGAUACCGCCUAGUUCUAACCAUAAACGAUGCUGACUAGCGAUCCGCCGGCGUUAUUCCCAUGACUCGCGGGCAGCUUCCGGGAACCAAAGUACUUGAGUUCCGGGGGAAGGUAUGGUUGCAAAGACUGAAACUUAAAGGAAUUGACGGAAGGGCACCACCAGGAGUGGAGCCUGCGGCUUAAUUUGACUCAACACGGGGAACCUCACCAGGCCCGGACACCGGAAGGAUUGACAGAUUGAGAGCUCUUUCUUGAUUCGGUGGGUGGUGGUGCAUGGCCGUUCUUAGUUGGUGGAGCGAUUUGUCUGGUUAAUUCCGAUAACGAACGAGACUCAGACCUGCUAACUAGUCGACGGAUCUCAUACCAUAUGUGUCCGUCGCUACCUUCU
rnacentral:rRNA from 1 species